UUCUAUUAAUAGCUUACUUAAAGAGUUGGAAAAUACGAACAACAGUUUAAACACCAAAGAAUUUGGCGGUGUCUUAACCAAUUAGGGGAACCUGUCCCUUAAAUCGAUAAUCCACGAAUGCCUCACCUAAUUUUGAAACUCAGUUAGUGUACUGCCGUCUUAAGUAUACCUUUAUGAGUGUAUACAACUAAUUAUUAUAUAAUAAAACGUCAGGUCAAAGUGCAGCUUAUAAUUAGGAGGAGAUGGGUUACAAACUUUAUAUAGAUAUGGAUAAAUAUAUUAAAUUAUAUUUUGAAGGUGGACUUAAUAGUAAUUAUAUAUAAUAUAAUGAAAUAUACAUAAGACAAGU
rnacentral:rRNA from 1 species